UGUGCUAAAAACACAAUUGCCGACCACCCAUACAUGUCUUGCUUAGAGAGAUUAUUUUCCAUCUUUUGUAAGUCAACAUUCCAUGUUUCACCAAACAUGAUCCCCUUUUUCACUCCAUUGUCUUCCUCUCUUGCCUUUUCUCUUCACAAAUGCCUUGUGUAAGGUUCAAUGAACCUAGUCAUGGUUGAGCACCAUCCUUCUCACCCAAUUUGGCAUACCCCCCUCUCAUUGUCG
rnacentral:lncRNA from 1 species